CUCAAGACCACACCUUCAGCAAACCCCUCUGCCUGACACAGCCGCCCCGUGGGUGCUUCCUGCGGGCACACUGCGGAGAAAAGCGGAGCCCUUGGUCCCAAAGCCCAACCCUGCGGGGCCAGAAACGCGAGCAGAGAAGAAAAACCCCCCCCCGGCCCUUCCAUGGCAGGCACUGGAGAUCCGGGGCGCCACCAGGAGCCGUCUCCCCUCAGGCGGGACAUGUCCUGUCCCUUUCUGGCCUUCCCUCUGCUUCCCGCCGUGGACCGUGAGGGACCGCAGCUCCGUCGCUCCUCCAGGAAUUGCGGCGCCGAGCCCCGGCGCGCUUGCGGUGUUGCACCGUGAUGACUUUUGAUUCCUGGUUCCUGAUUUGAACUCUUGUUUUCAGCAGAGUGGUGACCUCAGAGAGAUGAAAAUUCAGAUGCAGAGGGAAAAACUGCAGUUCCUGGAUUCACAUCCUUCAGCUGUGGCAGCACCUGCGCUCUCCUUAGAGGGAUGGAUCCAUUCCUUACCUUGGGUUCCUGCUUUUCAGUUUGCUCUGAGGAACUGAGGAACCCACAGCAGUAAUAGGGCCAGGGGCAAUAUUAAAUGGAGAAUCUCUUUCAUGUUCUCCAUAGAAAAUUCUUUCCUUUCAGACUUCAAAGAUAAGUGCCUUUUCCAACACCAGAAGGAUGUGGAUUCAUUGAUUUCACAGAUGCCAGACUGACAUUUUCCAGAGCUAAGGAGAUGGAUUUGUUACAGUCAGCCCCAGCUGAUUGGAGAUUUAGGUGAAUGGCUUCAGGACUCCUGGGGAGAGGAAGAAGCUGGGCCCACUGGUGCCUGAAGGAUGCCCACUAUUUAAAAUUCCUGAUGCUCCUCACCUUAAACAGAGUCUUAGAAGGAAAAGAGAAGUUCUUCAGUGAUGAAACCAGGGACCAAGGGAAAAGGAGCACUUCUUUUUCAGCCUUUUCAUGCUUCCUGUACGGCCAUCAGCAAGUCACCCGUUGGGUCUCUGUGAAAGAGCAGCAGUAGCUGCUGCAGCUCGGGCAGCUCAUCGGGGAGAACGCCGAAAAUGAAAAGAGUUCAGCCAUCGCCCUAACGUUUUUCCCAGAGGAUUCAUUUCACCUGCUUCUCCAGUUUCCCCAACAGCUUUUUUUUU
rnacentral:lncRNA from 1 species